GCAACAUUUAUCUAAUUCCAGCUGUUUCAACCAAAAAAAGAAACAGCUAAAAAUGCUAUAAUCGCACUAAUAAACCUGGCUGUAAAUCUUAUCAUACACCAAAGAGUCAACGUUGUUGCCCCAAACGAAAUCAAGAUGUGCAAAAUCCUUGUGUGGUACCAAUAAUUUCUCAGCAUUAGGUACUACUUUGGCUAAUUUGAUCGAGUCCUAUUAAAGUGGAACAAAAUUGUACAUAAAUCAGGUUGUAUUCAGGAGGAUGAAUCUGUCCAUAAGUCCAUAAGUUACUGAGAAGACCAUGGUUGAACUGUUGAAACUUGCCUAUGAAGAAACAGAAACACGCAAUGAACGACUAUAAGAGAAGAAAAUAUACAAAAUGGUAUCAUAAAGU